rnacentral:rRNA from 1 species
UGAGUGCGAGCUGCUACGGCAGCGAAGUUGGUGACGUCAAGCUUCCAAGAAAAGCCCUAUACCCGUUAAGGCAUCAUGGCCUGUACCCGAAACCGACACAGGUGGGGUGGUAGAGAAUACCGAGGGGCGCGAGGUAACUCUCUCUAAGGAACUCGGCAAAAUGGCCCCGUAACUUCGGGAGAAGGGGUGCCACCGCAAGGUGGUCGCAGUGAAGAGGCCCAGGCGACUGUUUACCAAAAACACAGGUCUCCGCUAAGUCGCAAGACGAUGUAUGGGGGCUGACGCCUGCCCAGUGCCGGAAGGUUAGGGAAGCUGGUCAGCGCAAGCGAAGCUGGCGACUGAAGCCCCGGUGAACGGCGGCCGUAACAAUAACGGUCCUAAGGUAGCGAAAUUCCUUGUCGGGUAAGUUCCGACCCGCACGAAAGGCGUAACGAUCUGGGCGCUGUCUCGGAGAGAGGCUCGGCGAAAUAGAAUUGUCUGUGAAGAUGCGGACUACGUGCACCCGGACAGAAAGACCCUAUGAAGCUUUACUGUAGCUUGGUAUUGUGCCCGGGCUCUGAAUGCGCAGGAUAGGUGGGAGGCUUUGAUCAUCGGCUUGCGGGUCGAUGUGAGCCAACGGUGAGAUACCACUCUUUCAGAGCUAGGGUUCUAACAGUCACCCGUUAUCCGGGGACUGGACAGUAUCAGGUGGGCAGUUUGACUGGGGCGGUCGCCUCCUAAAAGGUAACGGAGGCGCGCAAAGGUCUGCUCAGGCUGGUUGGAAAUCAGCCGACGAGUGUAAAAGCAGAAGCAGGCUUGACUGUGAGACCUACAAGUCGAACAGGGAGGAAACUCGGCUUUAGUGAUCCGACGGUUCUGCGUGGAAGGGCCGUCGCUCAACGGAUAAAAGUUACUCUAAGGAUAACAGGCUGAUCUCCCCCAAGAGUUCACAUCGACGGGGAGGUUUGGCACCUCGAUGUCGGCUCAUCGCAACCUGGGGCUGAAGUCGGUCCCAAGGGUUGGGCUGUUCGCCCAUUAAAGCGGUACGCGAGCUGGGUUCAGAACGUCGUGAGACAGUUCGGUCCAUAUCCGGUGCAUGCGCAGGAAUAUUGAGAGGAGUUCUCCCUAGUACGAGAGGACCGGGAGGAACGCACCUCUGGUGUACCAGUUAUCGUGCCAACGGUAAACGCUGGGUAGCCAUGUGCGGAGAGGAUAACCGCUGAAAGCAUCUAAGUGGGAAGCCCACCUCAAGAUGAGUAUUCCCAUGGCGUUAGCCAGUAAGGUCACGGGAAGAACACCCGUUGAUAGGCUCUAUGUGGAAGCGCAGUAAUGCGUGAAACAGAGGAGUACUAAUAGACCGAGGGCUUGAC